GACAAACAUCCAAACAUCUUCCUCCUUAUAUUUUCUCCAUAACAACAAUCCUGUAAGGUGGCCCAGCUUUAAUGGCUAACAUGGGACAAGAGCUUCAGAUUCUGAAAAUCAAAUCCUUCCUCAUUAAUUGACCCUACAUCUUUAUGCUUCCAGUUCUGAAGAGCAUCUAUGGAAGGCUCACUUGUUUGAAUAUUAUGGGCGACCCAGCAGUGUUCCUUUAACACCUAGAUGAUGGAGCCAAGUCAAACCUGGUGGCUUUCUGGCCACAGAAUAAAUUGGCUGCAAAUAUGUAACUCCUGGGACCUGUGCUGUGAUGUCAUGACAGAUGUUUUGUCACUUGCUCUCUCCAUGGGGCCAAUAUGAGCGUGUUGAAUGGUCCACUGGUUCUCCCUACUGUAUGAGGUUUGAUUGGCAGCAGGAAGAAAAAGAUUUUUAUCAGACCAGAGAGGUCACUGAACAAACAAGAUCAUGCUGUUCCUCCAAAAGCACAUCUGCUUUUUCCAAUCAAAGCUGCUGGUAACCAUGACCAAACCAAUAUCUCUGCUUUGUUAUAUAAGGUUUCUGCUCCCCCCACCCCGACUUCUCUUAGACUUCUCUUCUAAUCUGCUCUAGUUUCAGGAAUAGGUUCCAGUCCAGCCAGCACAAAUCACACAGGAAGGGGGUGUAGGCUUCACCGGUUAGAUGCAGCUACACAACGUUUCUGCCUUGGCUUAGCCUUCAUUCUGUCAAUGGAUCCUGCUAAAGCCUGAGGGGCACUGAAUAGUGGUGAACAAAAGCAUGUCCCUCACAAUUAACUCUAGUGUAUUUUGCUAUAGUGGUUGAAACUUCACAAAGGAUAAGUUGGAUGAGUAGUUAAUCAUUUGCCCAUUACUGAAAAUGAACGAGGGUGCUGAUUCAACAUACAGAUCCUAGUUAUUGCAGAUGGCAACCUUUCUCAACUUGAUAUCUCCAACUGUGUCAGAACUGUGUUCUUUCCAACACCAACAACCAGGAAUUUGGGUGGAAAUUUAGAGACAGUUAUGGAAAGCAUGAAACUAGAAAAAGUUGAUGGAUGGUACUUGGAAAAAGCUUAAUCUGGAGAGUGACAGAAACACGCAUGCAUUUAAGUAUGAAACAGGACUAAGACCAAAUGAUGAACUAAUUAUAUUUGCUUUGAGUCCAAAUUGGAAAGUCACAGUGAGGAUUCUAAUGGGUUUUUCUGGUUAUGUGGUUUGCAUAAUGCUAACUUCAUUUUAAUGUGUGCUGCCAACUAGCAACUAAAGACAAUAAGAAUCUAUUAGGUUAUCACAAGGAAUCGAUUACCUCCAGAUUUUGGCAAACUACAAGUCCUAGUGGUUCCAGCCAGUAUAGUCAAGAGGAAGGAUCCUGGGGGCUCAGUAAUAAAUAAAGGAGUACAGCUCCCAUAAUCUGGGUGUCUCUAAUGAAAGCAUUCCCAGUUCCUGCUUUCUGCAUAAUUUUAAAUUUUCAAGCGCUUUUCCAUUUAUCUUUUUAUGAUCUGUAAGCUAUCCAGAGUCAUCUUACUGGGGAAAUGGACAGCAAAUAAAUUUGAUAAAUACAGUAAAUACAUUCCCAAACAAUUCAGGCAGUUGGGUCUGUACACAGACUGAUAGCAGCUUUCCAUAAUGACAGAGAACAAACCUCUGCUGUUUUGUUGGGUGUUCCAAGAACUGAAACCAGAACCAUUUGUAUUCUAUGUGCUACUACUGAUUUAUAAUACUUAGGUCAGAAGGGAAUCCAUGACCAAUCUCCAGUUCCUAAUAUAUAUGGCCAUAGUGGGCUGGACACAGGUUUUCUCUAGCCAAUCAAAUGAAGCAUUUCCCCCACUAGUUUAUGCAACUAUCAAUCUCAAAAGCCCAUUUUCAAUGCUCUCACUUCCCUGUUCCUGAAGACAAAAGAACAGACAUCAGAAAACCAGCUUU